AGCGAACGCUGGCGGUAGGCCUAACACAUGCAAGUCGAACGGCAGCACAGUAAGAGCUUGCUCUUACGGGUGGCGAGUGGCGGACGGGUGCGGAAUACAUCGGAAUCUACUUUUUCGUGGGGGAUAACGUAGGGAAACUUACGCUAAUACCGCAUACGACCUCCGGGUGAAAGCAGGGGAUCUUCGGACCUUGCGCGAUUGAAUGAGCCGAUGUCGGAUUAGCUAGUUGGCGGGGCAAAGGCCCACCAAGGCGACGAUCCGUAGCUGGUCUGAGAGGAUGAUCAGCCACACUGGAACUGAGACACGGUCCAGACUCCUACGGGAGGCAGCAGUGGGGAAUAUUGGACGAUGGGCGCAAGCCUAAUCCAGCCAUACCGCGUGGGUGAAGAAGGCCUUCGGGUUGUAAAGCCCUUUUGUUGGGAAAGAAAAGAAGCAGGUUAAUACCCCGCUGUUCUGACGGUACCCAAAGAAUAAGCACCGGCUAACUUCGUG
rnacentral:rRNA from 1 species